GUGCCCGUAACUCAGUGGUAGAGUGUGAGAUUGCAAUUGAUGCACAGUCGAAGCAAAUAUCUUGAAGCCCCGUGUUCGACCCACGGCGGGCACU